rnacentral:rRNA from 1 species
UACAGAGGGGGCAAGCGUUAUUCGGAAUUAUUGGGCGUAAAGGGCGCGUAGGCGGCUUUGCAAGUGACGGGUGAAAGCCCUCGGCUUAACCGAGGAACUGCCUGUCAGACUGUAAGGCUUGAGACCGGGAGAGGUGAGUGGAAUUCCCAGUGUAGCGGUGAAAUGCGUAGAUAUUGGGAGGAACACCGGUGGCGAAGGCGGGUCUCUGGGCCGAUAUUGACGCUGAGGAGCGAAAGCGUGGGGAGCAAACAGG